rnacentral:rRNA from 1 species
GUGAACGCUGGCGGUAGGCCUAACCCCUGCCAGUCGCACGGCAGCACCGGAGAGCUUGCUCUCUGGGUGGCGAGUGGCGGACGGGUGAGGAAUACAUCGGAAUCUGCCCAGUCGUGGGGGAUAACGUAGGGAAACUUACGCUAAUACCGCAUACGACCUUCGGGUGAAAGAGGGGGAUCGCAAGACCUCUCGCGAUUGGAUGAGCCGAUGUCGGAUUAGAUAGUUGGCGGGGUAAUGGCCCACCAAGGCGACGAUCCGUAGCUGGUCUGAGAGGAUGAUCAGCCACACUGGAACUGAGACACGGUCCAGACUCCUACGGGAGGCAGCAGUGGGGAAUAUUGGACAAUGGGCGCAAGCCUGAUCCAGCCAUACCGCGUGGGUGAAGAAGGCCUUCGGGUUGUAAAGCCCUUUUGUUGGGAAAGAAAUCUUUCAGGCUAAUACCCUGGGAGGAUGACGGUACCCAAAGAAUAAGCACCGGCUAACUUCGUG